CGCCUAGGUUGCGACUCACUUAGACAGAAAAUAGAUAACUUUUAUUUUGCAUUUUAUUUUUUCAAUAAAUUGUAAGAGACUUGUUGAAUACUUAAAGGAACACACAUUAUAUACUUGUUCUCCAUGUUUUCAUUAUGUUCCAAUGGCUCAUAAUAUAUAUGUCAUUCCAUUUUUUUAUGAUGAAAUCAUAUAUAUUUUAAGUAUAAAUAGACACUUAUUUACACAAAAUAUAAUAGAUUUAAUUAAAUCCG
rnacentral:lncRNA from 1 species